rnacentral:rRNA from 1 species
GAUGAACGCUGGCGGCGUGCCUAAUACAUGCAAGUCGAGCGAACAGACGAGGAGCUUGCUCCUCUGACGUUAGCGGCGGACGGGUGAGUAACACGUGGAUAACCUACCUAUAAGACUGGGAUAACUUCGGGAAACCGGAGCUAAUACCGGAUAAUAUAUUGAACCGCAUGGUUCAAUAGUGAAAGACGGUUUUGCUGUCACUUAUAGAUGGAUCCGCGCCGCAUUAGCUAGUUGGUAAGGUAACGGCUUACCAAGGCAACGAUGCGUAGCCGACCUGAGAGGGUGAGCGGCCGCACUGGAACUGAGACACGGUACAGACUCCUACGGGAGGCAGCCGUAGGGAAUCGUCCGCAAUGGGCGAAAGCCUGACGGAGCAACGCCGCGUGAGUGAUGAAGGUCUUCGGAUCGUAAAACUCUGUUAUUAGGGAAGAACAAAUGUGUAAGUAACUAUGCACGUCUUGACGGUACCUAAUCAGAAAGCCACGGCUAACUACGUG